rnacentral:rRNA from 1 species
CUACGGGUCGCAGCAGUGGGGAAUCUUAGACAAUGGGGGAAACCCUGAUCUAGCCAUGCCGCGUGAGCGACGACGGCCCUAGGGUUGUAAAGCUCUUUCAGCAGGGAAGAUAAUGACGGUACCUGCAGAAGAAGUCCCGGCUAACUCCGUGCCAGCAGCCGCGGUAAUACGGAGGGGACUAGCGUUGUUCGGAAUUACUGGGCGUAAAGCGCGCGUAGGCGGAUUGUUAAGUCGGGGGUGAAAUCCCGGGGCUCAACCCCGGAACUGCCCUCGAUACUGGCAGUCUUGAGUUCGAGAGAGGUGAGUGGAAUUCCGAGUGUAGAGGUGAAAUUCGUAGAUAUUCGGAGGAACACCAGUGGCGAAGGCGGCUCACUGGCCCGAUACUGACGCUGAGGUGCGAAAGCGUGGGGAGCAAACAGGAUUAGAUACCCUCGUAGUC